GUCGUUUGCGCGGGAGCAACGCGCGCGAGAGCGUCUGCGCAUGCGCUUUGAAGUCCAGACCACACCAGGACCGUUGGUUUGGAAAGGACACAUGAGGGGACUGACUGUCUUGUUUUCAAAGCUCGUUAAAAGUGACAUUUGCUGUACAUUUGGAAUUCCAAAGCCUGUUCAGACAAAUUACGAGCUAAGUCAGUCCCCAACAAAGGCAGUUAGCCUUGUAGAAGUCGGUGAAUUAACUGAUGAAUACCCCUUGGCUGACUAUUUUAUUGGACAUGUGCAGAUGGUAACGUUAAAGAGAUUUUUCUGCUGCAAAGGAUGACAUUGAUGCAGCUUGUGAACUUGCCAUCAGAGGACUGUGUAUCUAUCUUAAUGAGGACCCUAAAGAGCUCAUUCAGGAGUAUGCGGACAUGGAAGAAGAUCCAGUUUAUUUUACAGUGUGCGAUUGAGAAGACUACCAUGGGCAUCUUCCUGAUAAAGCACACUGCAGACUAUGAACCCCAUGAUGUAGACAUUGUGCUAGAGUGUGUAGCAGUGCUUCAGGACCUCGACAGUGUGGAUUUUGCAACUUCAAUGUUUUUGGUCUAAUUUAUGCUCUUAACCUGCAGUACCCCACAAAGUUGCGUUUUACAUAUGAAAUUUAGCAAAAACUCAUCACGGAGUUGGAUGCAGGUGAACUCUCUAUCAAGGUCCAAAAUUUCACAUCUGAACUCCACCAGUGAGAUGGACUGAUUUUUGAAUGACUACUGAGACUACAAACAAUCAACCUCGGAAAAUUUCAGCAGCCUUCAUGCAAGACCACCGCAAAGGGUAAACCGUGGUCUUGUUGUUUAGACUGUUCCCCUUUGCCUGCUCUCGUUUCUUUAUCUUUUUUUUUUUUUGUCUGAAAUUGGCCCUUCUUUGGACUGGCUCAGAAGUUGAUUGAUUAGAGAGCUAAAUCUAUGAAACAUGGUUGAACUAGCAUAAAUAAGAUACAUUGACCCUUACCUAAACUAUAAACAGAUACGAUACUGUAUUUUCACAUUGUUUUGUAAUGUCUAUAUAUGAUUAUCUUUGAAACGAAAGCGUUUUUCUUGAAAUAACAGUUCCAGGUAGGGCUGCAUGAUAUUGGGAAAAAAUGACAUUGCGAUAUUUUAUUUUUCUGCGAUAUAUAUAGCGAUAUGAAAUCUAAUCUAUUUUUUUCUUACAAACAAAAAUUGGGUGAGCACACUUACAUUCUCAUUUUAAAUGAUGUAAUCAUCGACACCAUCGUGUCAAUUGAUUAAUAUGUGCGAGGGAGAGAGAGCAAUAUAGCGCUUGUGUUGUUUGAAGCUGGUGAGCUUGCGGCCGGGGCUCGCUCUCGCUCUCUCGCAUGCUCUCUCUCGUGCUCUCUCUCUCUCUGCCCUGUUAAACUGACAGGACUUAAAAACACAUAUAAAAGAUAAACUUUCACUCUAUGAUGGUUAAGCUGUACAAUUAAUCCGCGAAUCACAUUCGUCAAGGGCCGGGGAGCAGCUGGCCCGUACAGUUAAUGAAUAACGAAUCAACUACGACAGCCUACAUCGCACAUCCUGCAAUGUGACUAUCGUGCAGCCCUAGUUCCAGGUACUGGUGUUCUUGUGUACAGUUUUAAGGUUUCUGAGAGAAAUGAAAUAAAUUAGUGUUACAAUGUUGUAUUAGUUUUUAAACGCACAGUUACAUGCAGUAUAAUGUUACUUAUGUUUAUGAUAUUGUUUAAAAAAAAAAAGAAAUCUUGUAAAACUUAUGAAGGUUUAAAUAUAUUGUUGAUCUACAUGUUAUGCAUACAAAAUGAACUGUGUUUGUUUUUAUACUAGUCUAAUUAAAAAUGAUAUGUAUUUUUAUUAAAUUUAAUAAUCAGAGAAGUUAUUUAUGCUAUGCUUUUGAAAGCACAAUGUUAUUUAGACAUGCCAU